rnacentral:lncRNA from 1 species
UGAAAGUGAAUAUUAUCUACAAGCAUAGUUUAAAAAAAAUACUUUUUAAAAUUAAGCACACUUAUUUUUCACAAGAGAUGUACAGUAGGUUAACAUGUGCUUUACUUACAGUUACAGGCGUACAGUUUUUGUCAUAUAUAGUGAGUAAAAUUAAACAUGCUCACUUAGCUGGGAAAAUUGGUUACUCCAAAUCACUCACAGUUUUUCUGGACAAUUUUUUUUUUUAAGGAAAAUUCCGCGAGAAGGCGUCCAUCCUUCACAAAAUUGCCAAAAAGAAAUGCCAAGUGGAGGACUCAAAUGGAGUUGCUGAUAAAAAUCUGCCAAACAGUGUGGAGGUGGACAUGACUCCACCGAUGAAUGGCACCGCUGGACAGGACGGAGAUACAGGUGAAGAGGAUGAUGAGGAAGAUCAGCCUCUGAGCCUGUCGUGGCCCGAGUCCAAACGCAAGCGCCUCACGUAUCUCUUGAUCCUGCCCAUAGUCUUCCCUCUGUGGAUGA